CUGAUUGGACGGCAGGGCAGUGCGUCUACAUGACUGGAGCCUUUAUAACAAUCAGAAGAAUCAGAACAUCAUUGAUCCAGAGCUGCUGACUGUUUGUCCGAGUCCAUUUCAACAAAGACAAGAAGAAACAGCCAUGAACGCCCGAGUCUCACUGAUGCUGGUCUUGGCCGCUCUGCUGCUCUUUGCAGGCGCAGAGGCAGGAGCGAUCUGUGAUGCAAGGGGAGGAUCAUGCACCGCUCCUUACUCCUGUGAAUCCAGGCAUAAGCACUGGGUGAUUACAUCUGACUGCAUUAAAAACGUACGAGUGUGCUGUCUGGAUGGCUGAGGACAAAACCCACUUUGAGAUGAGAGAAGAGACCUGAUUCACUCCCAGGAGGGAAAGCUACUUUUGGCACUGUAAAAAAAAUAAAAAUGUAUGAAAAAUAAAUAAAGUCAUGCU